CUGCGAAAGAAAAUAUUGUCAAACUGCCUCUUACCUCAUGAAAUAGUGAAGAUUCCAUGGUAUAAACUAGACUGUGACUAGUUUGAAUAGAAUACAAAUCUUUUUUAGUGGUAAUUGACUAUUAUUCGAAGUACAUUAAAGUCGAGCUCUUAGAGAAUGGUACGACAAGUAAAUCUAUAAUCGCAAAACUUAAAUUUAAUUUUGCCAGCCACGGAAUUCCCUUUAUUUUAAUCACUGAUAAUGGACCACCUCUUAAUUCCCAUGAAUUUAAAAAUUUCUACCAAGAAAUGGAACUAGAUUAAAUGGGCUUGUUUAAACAUCAAUACAAGUAGUAAAAAAAAAAGGUUAACAAGUGCCAGGACGCUAACAUGGAUCCAUAUACAUCCCUUUUACGCUAUUGGACAACACCUAAAAAUAACAUGCCAAGUCCAAGCGAAUAUCUAAUGUCCUGUAAGUUGCGUACCAAGAUCCCAACAAUUUUAAGUCAUUUCGAGCCCAGAGUGAUUCACAAAUCAUACUUUGAUAAAAUUGUCAAGCAACAAAAGCAAAAGUCAGCCGAAAUAUGCAACAACCAAUAAAAAAUUUAAAGCCUGUUGAAAUUGGUGAGCAAUUAUUGUAUAAAAAACCAUCUACAUCAACAUUGUCUUCAGCUAUUAUUUACAUAACAAGACAGGGAUGGGACUUUAUACAGAAGAAAUAGGGAACACAUUUCUAAAAAAAAUUUUAUGUAUACGUAUACAACAGAGAAUAAUACCGAAAACAUUGAACGUCCAAACGAAGAAAGAAAUCAGGUAGAAGAAAAGAAUAACAAGCCCACAUCAUCCGAAUUAGAAAACAAACAAAUUAUUAGUCAUGAAAUAGAAAAGUAUGAAGAUAGAAAUACAUAAAAUGAUGAACUUAUAGAAAGAAAGAGUUACAUUACCAAAUAUGAGAGAGCAAAACUUUCAAUAGGUUUAGUGAUUGUAAAAAAUAAUUUCUUGAAUGAGCCUAAGGGAGGUAGAAUGAAAAAUUGUGUUGUUUCUACUUGACGUCUGGGGUCGAAAAAAGCCAAAAUCGCGGUGUGUUAAAAUGAAGGGUUCAAUCAAAAAGACUGCGUCCUGUAAGAAAUGCUGAUUUGAGACAAUAUAUUUAGUGGUCAUCUCUACACCACUUAUGACAUCGUUCAGGACAAGCGAAGAAGACGGCUAUUCAAUACCCGAAGCGUUGAUUUCGUUUUAAGAAUAUUAACGCUUCGUCCUGAGUGAUGAAGUGAAAGACUUUGAUGGAAUUAAAAGUGUUUUAUAUUGGGAGUAGGCGUGGAUAUGGUCUAUUUUCUAACUACAACAUUUAUUUUUAAAGAAGCAGCUUAGCCGUCAACCCAAGUAAAACUGAAGUGAACAGGAGAUAUAAGUUCCCAGACGUCCCUCUCCUCUAUCAACUGUAUUCCGGAGAACUUCAAUCACUGCGUCGCAGAGGCCACUCUUGGCGGAUUUUUCUCUGCUCAUAUACCGACGAGGGAUAUGUGGAUGGGAAGAAGUCGCUGGAGAAGAGGCGCAGUGAGCUUGUUCACGGAUGGGUCGAGCCUAGAACGGAAGAUUGGAGGGGAACUUUCUGUAAGAAGCUAUCCAUCGAUCUUAGCUUUAGGCUACGGAACCACGGUAGUGUUUAAAAAAAAACGCUUUUCGAUCUGUAAGGUUCUUAUGAUUUAUUUAAAGGAACUAAACAAGAUUAUCACGUAUGUUUCAAAAACCAAAUGAAAUUGAUGUAAUUACGUUUUUACAAACCGAA